GCUAUGGCGACCGCGGCUCCCGCCCGCUACAUCCGGGGCCACCGCCGGGACGGGGUGUCCUGAGGCGGGCGGGAGGGGCCGGCCGGCCUCGGGGGUCGGCUGUUCCAUCCCGCGGGGGCGGGAUAGGCAAGAGCUCUCCCUGCCAGCCCAGGGCUGUGCCUCAUAGAGCCUGGACGACGACGCACAGCCCUUGGUGGCAAGGGCCGACAAAGAACUUUACCCUCAUUAUUAAGAAACUCAUAAUAAAGCUGGGCAUAGUGGAGUACACCUGUAAUCCCAGCACUUGGGAGGCUGAGGCAGGAGGAGCACUGUGCAUUUGAGGUCAGUCUGUACUACCCAGGAAGACCCUGUCUCAAAAAACAAA
rnacentral:lncRNA from 1 species